GUUUCACCCGGUGUUGGCCAGAAACACUUUUUCCUGCUGUGUCGGCGUGCCUCUUUUUCACUCCUCCAGAGUGCUUGGUGGGAGAAUAACACGAAUAACGUCCAUUUGAAGGUGCCGUUCUCCGAAAGGAAUGUUUGCCUCACACAGCCCUGCUCCUGGCCCUCACCUCCAGACGUCGCUGCUCUUGGAGAAGAGGGACAGCUUGAUGACCUCCGGGGCCAUCCAGGCGUAGGUCCCCGCCGCGCUCAUCUUGGUGGUGCGGUGCCACUCUCGCGCCAGCCCGAAAUCCGUGAUCUUCAGCGUCCUCCAGCACACGUCCUCCCUGUCCGCCUGCUCCAGGAUCAGAACUGUGGGAGGGAGGAGUGGGGAGAGGGGGGCAGAGGGGGAAAGCGACAGACGAAGAAAAGUAUUUAGAAACAGUCUUGUCAAAUAUUUAAAAAACAAGAGUACUUGACCUUCACUAAUGUAAGCCCGUGGGAGUGCUCUUUAGCAAUUUGCCAUUUUUUCAACACUAAUAAAAACCUUUUGGUUUUACUGCA